rnacentral:rRNA from 1 species
UCUUUUGUAUAUUUAUUUAAGUCUGACCUGCCCAAUGAGGAAUUCAAUGGCCGCAGUAUUUUAACUGUGCUAAGGUAGCAUAAUCAUUUGUCUUUUAAUUGAGGGCUGGAAUGAAAGGUUGGACGAGAUAUAGACUUUCUUUAAUUUAAUUUUAAGAAUUUAAUUUUUGAGUUAAAAAGCUUAAAUUUGUUUGUUGGACGAGAAGACCCUAUAGAUCUUUAUAAUUUUAUAUUUUAAUAAUUUGGUGGUUAUGUUUAUUAUAAGUAGAAUAAUUAUUUGGUUGGGGUGACUGUAGAAUUUUAUUAACUUCUAUUGUUUAGAUUUCAUUAAUUGGUGUUUUUUUGAUCCAUAUUUUUAUGAUUAAAAGAUUAAU